rnacentral:rRNA from 1 species
AAAUAAGAAAUUAAGAGCGUAUGGUGAAUGCCUAGGCUCUCAGAGGCGAUGAAGGACGUGAUAAGCUGCGAUAAGUCUUGGGGAGGUGCAAAUAACCUUUAAUCCAAGAAUUUCCGAAUGGGGCAACCCACUUAGUUGAAGACUAAGUAUCCAGCAAUGGAGGCAAACGCAGGGAACUGAAACAUCUUAGUACCUGCAGGAGAAGAAAAUAAUAAUGAUUCCCUUAGUAGCGGCGAGCGAAAUGGGAAGAGCCCAAACCAUCUAUGUUUAGGCAUAGAUGGGGUUGUAGGACUCACAUAACGGUAUAUAAAUUGAAGUGGAAUCAAUUGGAAAGUUGAGCCAUAGAGGGUGACAGCCCCUUACACGUAAGCUUUAUAUAUUAGUGAGUAUCCUGAGUAGUGCGGGACACGAGAAAUCCUGUAUGAAUCUGCCGGGACCAUCCGGUAAGGCUAAAUACU